rnacentral:lncRNA from 1 species
CUUUAAUGUUUUUCUGAUCUAAAAUUGAUUUCUACUAGUAGUUGUCUACUCUUGAAGUUAAAAGGGCUUUCCUUAUCUCUUAUUUAUCAAAAUUCCCCCUUAUAGUUUACUAAUAUGUCAUUUUCAGUAACAGACCAAUAUGCUGUGUUAGCCAAUAAAGGCAUAUAAGUAAGAAUGGGUGGCAUUUGGAGGUGGGCUGUGACCAGGCAACAUUGUAACUACAUGGUUCUGUAUAAGGCAACAUUGUAACCAUGGGAUUCUCUAAUGCUGGGUCCUGCAUUGCACAAAUCUCAGGCGACUGUUUCUGGCUAAUGGAUUAGUGACCUUUCUACUCAAUUCUCAAGGAGAAAACUAUUCUGAUUCAUGCUCUAAUGCAAAAAAAAAAAAAAAAAAGAAAAUAUAAUGCUUCAGUAUGAUUUGCAAACUGUAGAGCAAGUAUCCAUUGAGGUAGGUAGAGUUUAAAAAAGAAAGAAAGAAAGAAAAAGAAAAGAAUUCAACUUAAAAUAGGCAGCUGAGCUCAUUUUGUCCCAGGCAAAAAGGUUUCAAAAUUCAUGCCAUAACUCUCAAUUGUUAAAAAGGGAAUGGCCUUUUAAAGUGACCCGAAUAUUUAAUAUAAUCUAAGUAUUGUGGUUCCAUUUACAGUUGACCCUAAAUUGAAGUAGUUUAUAUUUAGUAAUUCAAUUAAUUCCUGUCAUUUGCAUUCCCCCCCAAAAGAAACAACUUAAAAUAGAAUGUAAAAACACCUGUGCUUUUCUUUAAAAAUUUUUUUGUCGACUCCAAAUAUAUUUACCUGAAACAAUACCAAGAAAGAAAAAAAAAAAAGAACAAAGUAAAGAAAAUCAAUGUAACCACCUGCUCCUUCUUUCAGACAUUUCUCUAUAAGGCAAUUCUAAUAAAGGAAGCAGGCCCAUUUGUGAAAAGAAAAACCAUCAUGCAAGUAAUUUUCAACCAACAAGAUGCAAUGUUUUUCUAUCAAGAAAAAAAAAUAAGUAGACCUGCAGUUGAAGAGCAAAGGGCUCCACCUUGAUCAAAGGCAAGAAUCAGUUACCUAGGAAUUCUGAACUGUUUGACAUAAAUGUUCACUGUUCCUCUUCCCCAUGGAGGAAUAGUAAACUUCAUUCUAUCAACUACUAAUUCAAUCGUGCACCUUCAAUAUAUUUUCCCUAAUGAUACUGUUUUUCUCUUUUCCAUAAAUUCAUAAGAAAUAAAUUGUUCUGCUGAUUUCCCUUGUUUCCUUUCAUUGUUUUCUUUAAUAUGAUGUCAGGUGAUAUAAAUAUCUCUAUUUUUUUUUUUUUUGCCAAUUACAGUCAGGCAGUCUCUGGUCUACAGCAUGUGACAGCAUUGCCUCUAUUUUAGUUGCACUGUCAAACUCAAAUCCUCUGCUACAAAGAGUUUUCCCAUCUUCUAGAGAUCCUGUUGUUUAGGACCCUGAGAAUUUUAACUGCCACACUGGUUUUGUAUUGUAUUUUAUUUUAACAACAUAUCUUCUGGGCAAUUUAUGAGCAAGUUAAUUUCUUU